UUUUUUCCCUUCCCCUAACAAGUUUUCAGUUAACAUGUAUGAUAAGAGAUGACGUUUCAAGUUGCGAGAGUAAGAGCAUAUGGUUAAGAGUGGAUCUCUAAUAUUCCAUAUGAAAGAAAGAAGAGUCAUCCACGAUAUACAUUAAUUGACCAUAUAUAUAUGCAACGAUUAUUCUAUUCCAUAUCAACAAAGUAUUAUAUGAUUAUGAUCUCACCCAAAACCUCUAAUACUAAACAUUAUCCAUCUCCUACCCAUAAAUUAAUACUAAACCUAAAUCCCAACUUCAACCCAAACCCACUCCAACCCCUAAAUACUAAACUUUAAAUUUUAAUCAAUAAAUCAUAAACCCAAAUAUAAACCAUAAAUAAAAUAAUAAAUUCAAAACCAAAAUAAAAUGGACCAAAAAUAAAUAACAUAGUACAUAUUAAUGUCAAUGAUUGCAUGGAAUAAGUUAAUGCUGACCUCAAUCAAACUCCCUCACGUUCUAAAUACUAAGCCCUAAACUCUAAUCACUAAACCCUCAUCCAACACCCUAAACCCAAAUAUAAACCCUAAAUCCAAAUAGAAUGUAAAAAAAUAAAUAACAUAGAACAUAUUAGUGGAACUCAAAUGGAAUAGAACACAAUAACAAAAAACUGUUCAUCUUCUUCCACAUGCGACAUGAAUACUAAACCCUAAACUCUAAUCACUAAACCCUCAUCCAAAUAUAAACCCUAAACCCAAAUAUAAACCUUAAACCCAAAUAUAAACCCUAAACCCAAAUAGAAUGUAAAAAAAUAAAUAACAUAGAACAUAUUGGUGGAACUCAAAUGGAAUAGAACACAAUAACAAAAAACUGUUCAUCUUCUUCCACACUCGACAUGAAUUUACUUCAAAUUCAUAUACAUACAUGUUUCGGAGUCCUCGUGACUGUCGCUUUU
rnacentral:lncRNA from 1 species